ensembl:lncRNA
GUGUGUGUGUGUGUGUGUGUGUGUGUGCGUGCGUGCGUGUGUGCGUGCGUGCGUGCGUGCAUGUGUGCAAGUUUAUGUUGCGUUAUCCCUUCCCUGACCAAUCCCACCACAUCCAGCUCCCCUUCAAACAGAAAAGCACACAAACGCACACACACGGCACACAUACAUAUAAGUAUUUAUUGAAAGAUCAACACAGCAACAGCAGUAAUUAAGAGCCAGAAUCACACACACACUCAAAAACAAAACACCUGUUUCUGCCUGAGCCACUGAACAUAGACAGAACAGAGUCACCGGAUCUCUCUGGGUCAGUUAGUUUUAUUUAUCAAUGGAUUUCCUAACAUGUGACAUCCCACAGAGGAUUCCUUAGCCAUUCACUGGCCUAAUAAAUAUCAGAUCCACAACUGGGCUUAGUUGCAUGAAUAAGUAAUCAGUGAUAAUUAAACAAUCAACCAUAUAAUCCCUUCAGUUUGAGCUGGCAGCAUCAUACAUUUCAUUUGAGCUUUUCUAGCUGUUCAGGCUAUGGCUCCUAGAGAUGGUAAUGCAGAGGACAUGUGAGAUGGCCUCUGUGUCCGGAGCUAAUCUGGCCCUAGUCUAGAACCACUCCACACCUCAUCCGCUCCAAAGGCAGCAAUGCCUGGUGUUGUUGAUGACUUUUUCUCUCUCUCUCUCUCCGCUCCUCAAAAAUACAUUUCUGCUCCCCCAGUGAGUAGACUAAUGGGAUGUUUUGCUGGUUGGGCGUGUUGGCAGUGGCCAGCGCGAUCACUGCUGAGUUUGCAGGGGUGAGCAGAAGAGCCACGUGACUCCAGGCUCUCCACACAGCUGCACUGUCUUCCCUGUGCCACUGCGGUGCUGGACCACACAAGAGGAGAGGUAGAGUGGGGCGGGGUUGGGGGAGAGGGGAGCGGCAGCAGUGCUUGGGUACAUCUGCCACAUGCCCACACUAACCCAACAUCUCAUCUACCCAGCCCACCCAGCCACUGCCACGUGUGUGGGCACCUCCUGCGAGAUCCUUGUGGGCAUGGUGGGCAGCAGAGAAGGAAUGAGAGCAACAACAACAACAAAACGAUGAAACAGUAAAUGUUUCUAACUCUAGUAAAAAAUACAAAAAACAAGUGAAUGUUUGUUGUUAUGGUUUGUUUCGCUCAUAUAAUAUGUUUAAGAAUCAUACCAGUAUGGCACUAGGACGCUGGAGAGUGUUGCAUUCUACCACAAGAGGGCGCCUUUGUUGUUCCAAAAAAAUACGUGCGAUUCAGAAACAUUCUGUACUACUCUGCGUUACAUUAUGUAUACACGUUCUGUACAUUUUAUUUGUUUCAAAUAACCCGUUACAUGUCUAUAAUUACUUACCUUAAAAGGUAUCAGGAAUGUCUUUGAAACAGCUUGAAAAUGUACAUUCUAGGAAUUAAAAUAGCCUACUUAAAGACGUGAAGGAAUGAUCAUUAAGCCUGGCACUAUCAUCUUAUCAGCCUAAAUGUAAAACCAUCUAAAACUAAGUACUACGGGUAAGUUUGUUUAAUGUUUGUAUUACCCUUCUAUGUUAAUAACCUACCUUGACGCAAAGACAAAAUCGUCAGACUAACAUGUUGAUUGAACAUGUAUGUUCUGAGCAAAUAAUACAAUUGUUCUCAUUCAUAUCUUUCGUAUUGAAAGAAACCGUUCCUCCGCUUUUAAAGCUAACUGUUGAGCUAACUUUUACCAUGUUAGGCUUAUGACAUUAAUAGGUAAUGAAAAUAGCCAACGUUUUUCUUCUGAUAAAUUCAAGAAAACAUCUGUUCCAGUAAAAGCAUCUCUUUUCAUAUACAUGAAAGAAAUCGACAAAGUACAUGGAACAAGUCGAUUUAUUUGUCAACAAAAUAAUAUAAAGCAAUUUCAGUUAGGUUGAGUGAAUUAAUAAAUGAGAGAGAGCUUGUAAACGAAAAACUCCCAAAAGUAAACUGUAACUGUCAUUGCGUGAAUUAUAUUUAUUUAUUUUAUUAGUAUUGUUAUCAUUAUUAUUAUUAUUGUUGUUGCUGUUGUUCAUUUAUAAUAUUGUUAUUAUGACGCUGUCUGAUAUAUCAUUAAAGUACAUUUCAAACAAAAAAUUAUAUCGUUUCAUAGGGAUCAAUACAUAUGUAACGACAAACCAUAUUUGGUUUUGAAAUGUAAACUAUUCUUGGCUGGGCUGGGCGUCUGACGAAGACUUAAAAGAGAUACCUUACUAAAGUCGUUCACUUUUCCUCAGGGGUUCCCCAAACCAUCUCUUCUCCUAUUUCAUUUUUUUCCAAUGUAGGCUAAUGUCCAUCUUAAAAAGUAGGCUACACUAUAGAAGAACAUGACUGGUUAAUUAGACAUGAUACAGAACAUCUAAAAAAAAAGUGCUGUAUCAGUUUAGAGUGUUCAUGGUUUUCCCGUUUGAGAAAGCAAAGUCAUAAGUCUGGCACACUCUCGUGUUUCCAAUGAGAGAAGUAAGUAACUCGCCUUUGCACUGAAACACAGGUGUAAAUAAAUAUUGCAGAAGGUAUGUGCUAGUUGGCUGUAGUCUUUGCGGUGUGUUUAAGUGUAACUUUGUGGCCCAGAGACAGGCGACGUGAGGCGACGCAACAGUCAGCCUUUGUCGCCACUAGUUCUCUGAUGUCGGUUUGGUGUGUACCUGGCUCAAGAAAAACCUUCUUGAGGCUGAAUCCUAGAAUCGAUUAUUGUCAUUCACGUAGGUUUGAACAUGCGUGAGAUGAGUAUGAUGGGGAAAGAUUCAGAUUAGAGUGCAGGUGAUCAUUCUUCGAAAGAACACCAACAAGAAAUACUAUAAAAGUCAAAUACAUUUACAAUUCACAAAACAAGACGAUUAGAGGCAAGAUGUUGCUAAUUUAAAAAAUAACGGGUAAUGACUUUAUAGCAAUGUUUUUCUUGUUAUCUAAUGAAGCCCAAAAUGUAAUGCAACACAUAUGCUGGUCUUAAAUCAUAUAUUUAAAAUUGAGGACAAUCUAUAUAUGUCCUUGUUCUGCAAGAGGACAUCUAUAUCUCCGUUUUUAUUAUUAAGAGUUCCCUUACAUGUUCGUUUAAGAUGCAAAUACACAUUUUUAGAAAUAGACAUUAGUUGGUAUUUCUCAAGAAGUUUUGUCUGUUAACUAUGCAAUAAUGACGCCCCUUGAUUUGAUCAAAUAUUUCCCCACAAAAAUGGGUUAAAUAGGUUUAGGCUAGGCUUACCUGAACGGGGCGCGCGCGCAAACACAAACACACACACAAAGGUAAAAUAAUGCAGACAGCAAAGCCCUUGCGCUUGCGCUGAGUAGGCCUAGGUUACAUAACUUUCUUCUUUGGUUGCAUUCCUAUAUAUAUUAUAUAUUGAUUAACAUGUCCCAUUAACCUAUGGCAUGACGUCUCCUUCCCCAGGCGUGUCUUGGUAUACAAAGGCCAAGCGACACGUCUAACCUAGGCGCUAGGCCAGACUGAUUGCCCAAAGAUUAAUGGUCUUCUAUGGAUAUUUCAUGCGUGCCUGCGUGUGUGUGUGUGUGUGUGUGUUUGUCCAGUUGAAUUAUAAAAAUGAUCUAUAUAAUCAUUUUAUUGUUAUUAUCUCAAUUUCUUUCGGUAAAAUGUGUCUUUACAAUUCUGCAGCAGACCGCGGUUCUUUGUGUAUGCAUCGUGGACAUCCAUCACUACUGCAAUGCUGUCCACCGUCCCGUUGGAAACCAGUUAGUUGGCAUUAGACACCGGACUUGAUGUUGUGGUUAUGUGUAAAGUAGAGCAUACAUUGAGACCUCGAAAGAUUUAGGAAAAACAGAUGAUUGUUGUUAUUGUAUAAUUAUCAUUGUUAUUAUUAUUAUGAUAAUGAUGAUAGUGAUUUCACUACUGAUGAAUCGAAUACACAUUAUUUCGAUCAGUUUUAAAAUCUUUUUGAGGAAUAACAUGAUAGGCCUAUGCUAUGAGUUUAUAAUCAAGGAGUCUUCACUGGAAGUGAAAAGCGUUACAUGUACAAGCGUUACCAUUGAAAACUACCCAUUUAUUAAGUUACAGUUACACCAAAAAGAGGCUAGCCAACAGCUGUGUUACGGCCUUAUCAUAUGCACAAAUCUGACAAACGCCAGAAUUGAUCGAAUUUGCUACCUGCUGAAUCGUUUACUCUAACGCUUUAGAACAUUUCUGGGGGAAACACCGAAGAGUGUAACCUUGGCAUUGUAAAACAAAAGGUUUGGUCUGCAUCUAAAUGUGAUUCAAAAGACAUUCUGCCUGACAUGAUAGGAGAAUGUGCACAUGCGCGCGUGCGUACGUCCACCUGCCAUUAAUUAGCUAUUAUUCGACAGCCUCUUGUGUGCGUGUGUGUGUGUGUGUGUGUGCGCGCGCUUGUGUAUGUGUGUGUGAGUGUGUCACGCUCACGCGCAUGCUCGCCUGUUUCUUUGAGUGUGUGAGAAAAUAAACGAAUUUCAAUUAACUUAAUAACUUAAUAACCUAUGUGCGGCUUUUGGAUAGAAGUUCAUUAAAAACGAAGGGUUCCUGUAGGCCUAGGUACAAAAGGCCGAAAAGAAAUAUACCGACAUCCCUAUAUAUGAGUAGCCUAGAACAAAACGUAAUCCAAUACAUUUUGAAUGUAAAUGGACCACGCAGUACAAUAGAGGCCUUGAAGUAAUUACCACGGCUUUACUUUACAAAGCACGAGUUGAGUUAUAUACUCAUGCAGGGGCAAUGGCAAAGAAAAUGACAUUGUUCUAAUAUUUCAGACCAAUACGAUUUGCGUUGAGUAAAAAUACUUCUGCUGUGUAUGCUGCGCGUAUGUGCGUUUGCUUGCUGUUUCUGCACCGCUAGGUGACGCCAAACGUUUAAAAUAAUCGACCGAGGCCAUCUUUCCAGAACCAUCUGCUCUAGGCCUAGGCGUAAAAAAGACAGGAAUGAAAAAUGAUAGCUAUAUUAUUAAAAAAUUAAGUAUGAUUGAUUCACUUUCAGAAUGUGUUAAAGAAAGGUCUUUAAAAAUCCCAUGCCAAAAAUUGUCACAAUAUACACGUGGUUUCAUGAAGGGACCCUCUGCAUUCUCAUAGCGAUUUAAUGUUAUAAAACACAAGACCCUCAUACAGCCUAUGUUUCAAUUAGAGCUUAUGUCUCUCUACUGCAUCAGAUCCCUAAAACCUGUCCUUCCUUGAGCUCGAAGACGACUAAACACCACACACAGCACACGCUCCACAAUACCCUAAUUGUAUGUAGACUAUACAUUAAACAAACUGCCAGUAACAACAGAUUGCACGAAAUUACUUUAAUUAAGCUACUUUGGCACUUAGCCCACACGGUGCAUUCGAUAGCUUAAGGAUAGCAGAAACGUGCGUGCGCACACACAUGAGUUUUGAAGGAUCGUAUUAAAAUGUCUAGCCAUUCCCCCACGAUACUCCAAUGUGCAUCAUUUUAAUUGGUAUUUUGACUAAAAUAGGAACAUUGCAAAAUACACCCAUAACCAGUAGUUUGGCUACAGUCAUUCAUCACGUUAUAGGUGAUACAACAACAAUACAACCGUAUUUAAAAUAGGGGAAUUAUUAACAAAUACAUUUUUCCCAUACUUCCACAAAUAAGAACAAUUUAGUUUAAAUAAUUCGUGCCAUGUGCCUCGUUUUCCUCACACACGCAAAUGUAGCCUAGGUUACACUGGCUUCUUAAACCCUACUCGUGAGAUGCCAAUACGUUUCUUUCGCGCUGUAGAAGAGAAUGAACAUAGCCUACGUGCUUAAAUGUAAUGGAAGAAAUUACGACGAUAUUUUUUCAGAUAGGACACGUUUCUGGUUAAUAGAACAAUUCCAAACAGAAACAGCUUGAAGACAGUGUGUAGUCCUAUGAUCAUGUUAGGCCUAUAUAAUGCUGAUAUGAAACUAUACUUUCAGUGCAGUCUAUUUAGUUAGUUAGUUUUAUUGUCUUCAAGGGGAAAUUGUCUUCCACAUCACUGUACAUCACAAGUCAAUCCAACCAAAUUCUUCAAUGUUGCGACGAUGACCUAUUAAUUUAACUCGACUCCCCCUCCCCCUAAAAUCAAAAUCGUCAAGAGUACACUACUCUCUGUCGUUUAAGGUGACCCGGAACACAAAGAAAGUUGAAAUCCGAGUUGGUCCCUCCUUUGGACGUUCAGAUGCGGUUGGGAUGCUCUGCUUUUAGAGCCUGGUAAAUAUGCAUUAAUAUGGUAAUCUUGGUCCUGCCUUGUUGCUCCGUGACGAACCAUGCAUGGGCAUUUCAGAACUUGGGGCCGUGAGGGAUGGAAAGGAGCGGGCAUGACAUAAGCACUUAGGUGCCGUUUCACGUAUAAGAGAAUUUCUCACAUGUAUUGCACUUAUAGCCUACAUUUACGGAAUGUCUCUGACACUUUUUACGGGGUAACAACUUGCAGGCAUGACAGACAUGUGUUUUAGCUUUCAUGGGUCUUCUUCCCACCCGUCUGAUCGCCUGACCACUUCUAUUGGGUGGCACAUCACCCGAGCGACUAGGAGCAGGGUUCACGAGCUGAGGGAGCUACGCAUAGGAACUAUGCAAGUCUUGUACAGAUGAUAGCACAAAUAAAGUUCUUCUGGAAAUUCGUUGCUCACCACGGGCCCUGUCAACCCUCUUGUGAUACAGGGAAACUAUGGAGAGAAUUCAAAGACCUCCUUGAAAUCCAGCCUUUAUAGAGAAAACCUACACAAGGGGCGAGAUGAGAGGCAGCUCUUCUGAAGAGGUGAAGAUGGACAGCAAUCAGCGGAGGUCAAAGAUGUCUGUACCAUACCUCUUCGACAUUGGGUGGAACUAUGGGAAAACUCUGGACAUAGCAGUCUUCUUCCACAGCGCAAUAAAAGGAAAAUCCUGUUAUGGACAAGCUAAAGCUAAAAAUGACAGUUUAAUGAAGACUUGACUGUUUUUGUCAUGGCAACUGAUGCUUAAUAAGAGUACUGCCGGUUCCCCAAGACAAUUUCCUGCAAAUGUGAAAGGAAUGUUGGGAAAUGCUGAGAAUAUCUUCACCUUGCCACAAGUUGCCUCAGGGACCAGUACCACAGUGGCUGCACAGUUUUGUUUUAUGGAUCCCACAUAUCUUUGACAAUGUGGAAACAGGAUUAUAAAAAUACUACGCAAUCUAAAGCACUAUGAAACUACAACAUUCAUCAUCGAAUGUGUGCACUUUGAAAGUUACAUUUCCAUUCUGUGUUCUGUAUUGGAAAUUGUUGCUGUGUUUUUAUUUUACUUUGAAGAUUUGUCUUUAUUUUUCUAAUAAAUGAUAUGUUGUAUAAAACAGAAGAGAUCCUGCCUUUGUCUUGCUUUGAUUACCUCCGAGUGGAUUGUUGAAUAUUUAAUGCUGAGGUAUUAAAAUGAUCAGUCUAAGAAUCAUGGGGAUGAGAUGGCUCCUCUGGUGCUGUUUCAGAAGACUGAUGUGCUGUGAGCUGUCACCCGCUUGUCCAAAUGGAACAAAUGAUGUUCUGGGG